GAUGAACGCUAGCUACAGGCUUAACACAUGCAAGUCGAGGGGUAACGAGAGGAAAGCUUGCUUUCCCUGUCGACGACCGGCGCACGGGUGAGUAACGCGUAUCCAACCUGCCCCCAACUAAGGAAUAACCUUGCGAAAGUAAGACUAAUACCUUAUAAUUUCCUCAGAUGUCAUCUGACGAGGAAUAAAGAUUUAUCGGUUGUGGAUGGGGAUGCGUCUGAUUAGCUUGUUGGCGGGGUAACGGCCCACCAAGGAAACGAUCAGUAGGGGUUCUGAGACGAAGGUCCCCCACAUUGGAACUGAGACACGGUCCAAACUCCUACGGGAGGCAGCAGUGAGGAAUAUUGGUCAAUGGGCGGAAGCCUGAACCAGCCAAGUAGCGUUCAUGAUGACGGCCCUAUGGGUUGUAAACUGCUUUUAUACAGGAAUAAAGUUAGCCACGUGUGGUUAUUUGUAGGUACUGUAUGAAUAAGGACCGGCUAAUUCCGUGCCAGCAGCCGCCGUAA
rnacentral:rRNA from 1 species